UAUUUUCUCUUACGGGACUGUCGAGGUCUGGAAGCCAGCCGCAAGGAAUGCAAAUACGAUGAGCAGGCAUCGCCGUCUUCGGUGAUAGAUGGCCAAACAGUGAGUUCAGAAGCCUGGGGGUCGCUUUACUCCAUACAUCGGCGGUGAGCCUAAGCGUGUUUGGUUCGGAAACGGCUUUUCAGGUGGUGGAAUAUGUCGAGCUGGAGGAACAGAGGUGGUGGAUUAUGUCGAGCUGGAGGAACAGGGAAGUAUUGCCGAUGAAUGGCUCUGGGGCAUUUGUAGUGGAGAUAUUACUAUAAUCAAGAGUCGACGAGAACAGUUUUUGAUAUGCUUGUCCAAUAUGUGUUUUUUUUUUGUUAACAUAAGAUUUGCUUCUGUAAGAAGAAUUAGAAUGGGCAAUACAUUUGUUUCAGCGAUCCUCUCAUUUAAUUUGCCUCCA